rnacentral:tRNA from 1 species
GAGGAUUAGCUCAGUUGGGAGAGCAUCUGACUUUUAAUCAGAGGGUCAAGGGUUCAAAUCCCUUACGGCUCA